rnacentral:rRNA from 1 species
CCUACGGGUGGCUGCAGUGGGGGAUAUUGCACAAUGGGGGAAACCCUGAUGCAGCGACGCCGCGUGGGUGAAGAAGUAUUUCGGUAUGUAAAGCCCUAUCAGCAGGGAAGAAAGAAGACGGUACCUGACUAAGAAGCCCCGGCUAACUACGUGCCAGCAGCCGCGGUAAUACGUAGGGGGCGAGCGUUAUCCGGAUUCACUGGGUGUAAAGGGAGCGUAGACGGCCGUGCAAGCCAGGAGUGAAAGCCCGGGGCCCAACCCCGGGACUGCUCUUGGAACUGUGCGGCUGGAGUGCGGGAGGGGCAGGCGGAAUUCCUGGUGUAGCGGUGAAAUGCGUAGAUAUUAGGAGGAACACCAGUGGCGAAGGCGGCUUACUGGACUGUAACUGACGUUGAGGCUCGAAAGCGUGGGGAGCAAACAGGAUUAGAUACCCGGGUAGUC